UGUCACGUCAGUAAAGUGCAAUUGUUUGAAGAUGUAUUAACAUAUUUUAUAAACUCAUGCAACAAGCUGCAAUAUUUCUGGCGAUGUAACCCACCUCCGUCCCCGGCCGCGGCGUCAGCAUGAGCCUGGUCAGCGCGGUGGCCGCAGUGCUAGCCGUGCUACUGCUAGUACUGCGACACAGACAUUCUCUGGCGGAUGUUUUCUUUAAAAACAUAACAAACAUAAAGUGUCUGCAGUUACAUAAUGCUCAAGGUGACUUCUGUCUUCAAACGUCUCCUGCAGCACGCAAGCCCGUUGUGACCUACUGCUGGCGACCGCUCUGUGGAAGUAGUAGACCCAAGUACAAGAGCGACCCAGAGAUCGACGUGGACCAUGAACGCAUUGGACAUCAUCCGUUUGAGAAAUAAACACACUUCAAUAUCAGAAAUUAUGUUGUGAAAUUGUUAUAAAUAAAAAUAUUAUUGAGUUCA